GGGGGGGAGGGGAGCGCGCCGCCCCGGCAGACAAUAAGCGCCGCGCAGCCUACUGGCGUGGGCUGAGUGGCUAGCACCGUCCCCGUAGCUGGGGAGAUUCCACCCAGGGGGCGCCGAGCCUAGGGAGCCGGGGGAGGGGCGGAGGCGACAGAACGCCUGACCUGGCUGGCGACCCACACCCAUCCUGCCACAGAGCACCCUCUCGCGCCCCCAGUUACACACACACACACACACCCUGGAGUAGGGGAGGGAACCUUGGCACGGAGAACCUGUCUCGCGCCGCCACCGCUGAGGGAGGGGCGCGCCAGCUCCUGGGUCAGCGCGCCCCCAAAAUGAGCCGGGAAAGUGCUUUGCUUCUCUGGCGCUCCUCACUCCUCCCUCCACGUUAAAUAAGUUUUUGCUCCGCAGUUGUGUGUAACUGACCUUAAACUUUCCCCGACCCUAUUUCGGGAUGCUAGAGUUCAGGUCGUAGUGGCCUUUGGGGAUCCGGGCUCCUAGGACUUGGGAAAGAAGGGGCCUGGAUGUCCAACUCCCUACCUCUCCCCAGUUCUUAAAAUAUAUACUAAAUUCCUGAGAAGUUUCGGGAAGUUUUCGACGAUACUCUCUAGCCAACCUUAGGGAACUUUUAACCCUGGAGUUGUCAAGUAAGGCAAGGUUAGGCUGUGCGAUGCGCAGGAUGGAAGAGGGGUUCCCUUCCAGUCGUGUCCUAGGGCGCACGUUCAGUUUUGUUGUCAUGUUUACUCAGAGCUUUUCCUGGGCAUCAGGUAGGUUGCAAAUAAGUAGUUGGAAAGGGGGUGGGGUGGUACCUUCCCUGGACACAGCGCAAAAUAUUGGUUCCCCACCCCCAUCCUCACACACGCGCAGGCACACACACACCUUCUCUCCCUCUAAAAGAUUAUCACAACUAUGUACAAACUGAUACGGUCCUCAGCCAAGGGACUGGAAAUGAACAUCGCGGGGUUAUCAGUGCCGAUCUGUCAGCAGCGAGUCGCACGGCCGCAGGCUCGUCCGCGGCAGGAGCCGUGAUAUAUGUCUCGCUCCCUUUCGCUCACAAAACGGAUUUCUUCCGACAGGCGUGACCCCAGAAGGCUGCGGAGAGAGCAUUUAACUAAGCAGAAGGAGUUGUCUUGUGGGAUUGGAUUUUUACACACACACCCCCGAGGUAAAUCAAAAUAAAUGAUUUUCCAAAGGUCAGUCUCCCUGAAAGCGUUUGGGCUGUGUGUUUUUGUUUUGUUUUGUUUUUCAUUGGGGAAGGAAGAGGAACCUAAUCAGAGUUGAACAGGGAUAGAUAGGUGCAUUGUAAAAUAUGGUUUCGAUUGAUUGUGAGAUCUGGUUGCGAAGGGUAGGUUUCCUGGCAAUAUAACAGUGAGUGGUGAACCUGUGGAUCCCUAGGGGACGGGGGAGGGGGAAAGAGUUUCGCGUUGAUCCGGAGGGGGGGGGGGGCGCGGACUCUAGGAAGUUGGGUAAAAUUCUCCAUUUUUUAAAUUCUUCGUUGUAAACUGUUGCUAAACACUUCUGAAUUUUAAAUUGCUACAGAGAAGGUCCAUAAACCGUUCUCGUUCAAUUUAGUCACUUUUAUUACAUUCCUCUUUGCCUCCCCCAAUCACUACUUCGGCUCCCAGUUUCAGCGUGGCCGCAUUUCGGAAACGCUGAAGGUAGAAAACUCUGGAAUGGAGAGAUUGGUGACCGGAGCAGGAUCCAGGGCCUUUAAAGUUUAACCUGAGUUCGAUCGAAUGCAACUACCGGAGUAACGUUGGCCGGCCGCUCAAUUCCCACCAUGGCUUCAGAUGUCUUGCACUCGGUUCUUUGCUGAGUUCCGACCAAAUGGACUGGGUUUUGCAGAGUUCUUUUGUGAGCGGUUAUUUUAAUGUUCUGGACAUUUAUUUUCCUUUGAGUCCAAUUGUUUUUGAAAUGUUUCUCAGAUUUACUAUUAAAAGUAAAUUUUUUUAAAGUCCAUGCUUGCUAAAAAAAAAUAAAUGCUUUGGUUAGGUUUGCAUCCAUGCUGUGAAUGGCCUCCAAGCUGAGCCCUGGAGGAGAUCAAGCCCUGGCACGAGCUUGAUUCCUACCUAUCCUCUAUGAUUCUUUAUAUUUGCAAAUAUGAUGAUAUCGGUGUGGAUUUCCUGGGAGAUAGCUAACCCCCACUGUCCUGCCUUUCUUGCAGCUCCCCUGCAGCAUUAGGAGGGCGCACUGACCUCGGCGCCCAUGCGACAGAGGUGAGCUGCUGGACGGAUAUUGACCAAUUCAACAAUGUUCGGGCUGCUGUAAGGGUUCGAGAGAGAACCCAGCAUUUUAACCUUAAUAUUCCCCAUCACUUAAGAAUGCCCAAACCAAAGGGAAAAAUAAGUAAUUGUUCCUUUUCAGGCCACAAGUUAUACCUUUUUAUAAUAAACAUUGGUUUUCCAAUCAAACGAGGGAAUGGAUAAAGAAAUGCUUUCCAUAUAAGUUAUUUUUAAAAUAAAACAAAACUAUUAAACCUGAACAGUCGAUUAAGACAGAAAACCAGGUUGUCUGGCCGCCCCAAUUUGCCUUUUUCCGAGGCAAAGACUUUGGCGCUGGGGACAAACAACCACCGACAGAGGCGGGUUUUCAGAGCCAGCCCCCAUGGGCUCCAGGCCCCGGGCACUGAGAUUCCUCUAAUCCGGUCUGAAAUGUCAGCAGAAUCCGGGGUGCAGAGGAAAGAGGCACACCCCAAACUAAGGAGGAACCCAAGAGCUGUAUAAAACCCAAUAGUGCCCACAUAAACAGAUAAUUCUCUUAAGAAUUUCUUUUUUCUUCUUGUUUUUUUUUCCUCCUAUUUUUUCUUUAAAAAAAAUAUAUUUUUUUCUUUUCGCUUCUCCUGUCUCCUCUUUAGGAACCUGCUAAUAUUGAACGAAACCGUUUAUCUCAAGACUAUUUAGACCCCAAAAGCGACCAUUCCAAAAACGAGCCGUACUCCUCACCCUUGGAGAGGGCUGGCCCUGGGGCGCGGCCGGUCCCGAGGGCUGAUUUAUUUGGGCCGCGCCACGCCACUAGACGCGAUUCGAAUCC
rnacentral:lncRNA from 1 species